rnacentral:rRNA from 1 species
GAAGGUGGCAAGCGUUGUUCGGAUUUACUGGGCGUACAGGGAGCGUAGGCGGUUCGGUAAGCCCUCUGUGAAAUCUCCAGGCUUAACCUGGAACAGUCGGAGGGGACUGCUGGGCUAGAGGACGGGAGAGGAGCGCGGAAUUCCCGGUGCAGCGGUGAAAUGCGUAGAGAUCGGGAGGAAGGCCGGUGGCGAAGGCGGCGCUCUGGAACGUUUCUGACGCUGAGGCUCGAAAGCGUGGGGAGCAAACAGGAUUAGAUACCCUGGUAGUCCACGCCUUAGACUAUGAAUACUAAGUGUCGGCGGGUUACCGCCGGUGCCGCAGCUAACGCAUUAAGUAUUCCGCCUGGGAAGUACGGCCGCAAGGUUG